GCCGAGAUGCAAAUUACAAGGGCCAACACCUAUUACUAUUAGCCACUGCCGCCAUUCUCCUUCAGCGUCAUUCACUGUCGCCGUCGCAGCUUCAGCUUUCUUUCUCCACUUCGAAGUCAUUUUCGUUGAUCGGGUAUGCUCUUCCUCACCAUGCCAUUGCUUUCGUUUACAGUUGAUGUUCUUCCUCACUGUAGCUGACGCUGUCGUUCACCACUUUGAAGCCAUCAUCGAGGUAGGCUUUUGUAAUUGAAGUUAAGGAGGCAAGGAACCCUAAUUAGCUGCCUACCCGUUGCCUGUCCAAUUCGUGUCGCCAUUUAUUUACUUUGGGUAAGGUCAAACAAGAUCAACCCAACGGAAAAGCCGUGACUCGUGAUAGACCUAGAAAAAAUGACAGCCGUAUGGGUUUGGGCAUGACACAUUUUGUUGUAAUCUCACCACAGAAACAACACAACUGAAGGGUAGUACCUCCCCGAGAACAAAAGGCGUGAGUGAUAAGGGUUACUGGGUCACCAACAGCAGUUCUUCUGUUCCUCUUUCCUAGCAGAAGCUUCUCCUAUCCUCUCUUUCAAGUUUAGACUGAGAAGAAAAGAGCACAAACCCUUCUUCAAACACAUUUUGCUGAAUUGGGUUGUUCUUGAUUUAUGGCUGUAAGGACUGCAAGGCAAUUAUUGAGGGAUGUUUUGUAUGAAAGGGUAAUUUCAACUCCUGUUGUAGGUGUUAGACAUUGCUCUUCUGUUGCAGAAACUCCUCCUAAAAUCCCUCACUUCU
rnacentral:misc_RNA from 1 species